rnacentral:rRNA from 1 species
AUUGAACGCUGGCGGCAUGCUUUACACAUGCAAGUCGAACGGUAACAGGCCGCGAGGUGCUGACGAGUGGCGAACGGGUGAGUAAUGCAUCGGAACGUGCCCAGUCGUGGGGGAUAACUACUCGAAAGAGUAGCUAAUACCGCAUACGAUCUAUGGAUGAAAGCGGGGGACCGUAAGGCCUCGCGCGAUUGGAGCGGCCGAUGUCAGAUUAAGUAGUUGGUGGGGUAAAGGCUCACCAAGCCAACGAUCUGUAGCUGGUCUGAGAGGACGACCAGCCACACUGGGACUGAGACACGGCCCAGACUCCUACGGGAGGCAGCAGUGGGGAAUUUUGGACAAUGGGCGCAAGCCUGAUCCAGCAAUGCCGCGUGCAGGAAGAAGGCCUUCGGGUUGUAAACUGCUUUUGUACGGAACGAAACGGCUCUGGUUAAUACCCGGGGCUAAUGACGGUACCGUAAGAAUAAGCACCGGCUAACUACGUG